CCUGAUGCAGCGACGCCGCGUGAGGGAUGACGGCCUUCGGGUUGUAAACCUCUUUCAGUAGGGAAGAAGCGAAAGUGACGGUACCUGCAGAAGAAGCGCCGGCUAACUACGUGCCAGCAGCCGCGGUAAUACGUAGGGCGCAAGCGUUAUCCGGAAUUAUUGGGCGUAAAGAGCUCGUAGGCGGUUUGUCGCGUCUGCCGUGAAAGUCCGGGGCUCAACCCCGGAUCUGCGGUGGGUACGGGCAGACUAGAGUGAUGUAGGGGAGACUGGAAUUCCUGGUGUAGCGGUGAAAUGCGCAGAUAUCAGGAGGAACACCGAUGGCGAAGGCAGGUCUCUGGGCA
rnacentral:rRNA from 1 species